rnacentral:rRNA from 1 species
CACGCUGUAAACGAUGAGAACUAGAUGCUUGUUGGCUGAGGCUGAUGAGUGUUGAAGCAAACGCGAUAAGUUCUCCGCCUGGGGANACGCGAAAAACCUUACCUACCCUUGACAUGUCAAGAAGCUUGAAGAGAUUUGAGUGUGCCCGCAAGGGAGCUUGAACACAGGUGC